GAAUUUGAGAAGAUCCCAGAGAAUCAACACCCACAUGGUAGUUACCCUUUGAAGGAUCAUGAGCACUUUUCCACGAAGUGAAUCUGUUGUUUCUCACCCGUCUCUGGAUUAUAUAGUCCAUUAUCAUAGCAGAGCUCGUAUGGGUGCGGGGCAUAGCCCCAUGGUAUGGUUCGACCAGAUUGAUUAUGAUCCGAUGGGUCGACCCACGAUCUGGAGUAUAUAAUGUACUAUAUAUGGAGUAUUCUCGUUGUAAUUUGGGAGUUUUUUGAAUUAAGGUUUCAGGGCGAGAAACUCGCAUUUACUUGGGUAUAAUCUCUCUUCUACAUAGUGAAACAUCUUCUUCUUACACCUUUGUAAUGAGUGGCGCGAUUGGCGCUCACCCUACUGUAUUGGUUUGUUAGAGAAAUAAAAUUGCUUUUAAAAUGCAAAA